rnacentral:rRNA from 1 species
UACGUAGGGGCAGAGUCGUCGAUUCGAUUGGAUGGCGUAAAGAGCUCGUAGGCGGCUAUUCAAGUCGAACGUGAAAUCUCGGAGCUCAACUCCGAGCCUGCGUUCGAUACUGGGUAGCUAGAGUCUGGUAGGGGGAUCUGGAAUUCCUGGUGUAGCGGUGAAAUGCGCAGAUAUCAAGGAAGAACACCCGUGGCGAAGGCGGCU